rnacentral:rRNA from 1 species
CAACAGGGAUUGCCCUAGUAACGGCGAGUGAAGCGGCAACAGCUCAAAUUUGAAAUCUGGCUCUCGGGCCCGAGUUGUAAUUUGUAGAGGAUACUUUUGAUGCGGUGCCUUCCGAGUUCCCUGGAACGGGACGCCAUAGAGGGUGAGAGCCCCGUCUGGUUGGAUGCCAAAUCUCUGUAAAGUUCCUUCGACGAGUCGAGUAGUUUGGGAAUGCUGCUCUAAAUGGGAGGUAUAUGUCUUCUAAAGCUAAAUACCGGCCAGAGACCGAUAGCGCACAAGUAGAGUGAUCGAAAGAUGAAAAGCACUUUGAAAAGAGAGUUAAAAAGUACGUGAAAUUGUUGAAAGGGAAGCGUUUAUGACCAGACUUGGGCUUGGUUAAUCAUCUGGGGUUCUCCCCAGUGCACUUUUCCAGUCCAGGCCAGCAUCAGUUUUCCCCGGGGGAUAAAGACUUCGGGAAUGUGGCUCUCUUCGGGGAGUGUUAUAGCCCGUUGUGUAAUACCCUGGGGGGGACUGAGGUUCGCGCAUCUGCAAGGAUGCUGGCGUAAUGGUCAUCAACGACCCGUCUUGAAACACGGACCAAGGAGUCGUCUUCGUAUGCGAGUGUUCGGGUGUCAAACCCCUACGCGUAAUGAAAGUGAACGCAGGUGAGAGCUUCGGCGCAUCAUCGACCGAUCCUGAUGUUCUCGGAUGGAUUUGAGUAAGAGCAUACGGGGCCGGACCCGAAAGAAGGUGAACUAUGCCUGUAUAGGGUGAAGCCAGAGGAAACUCUGGUGGAGGCUCGCAGCGGUUCUGACGUGCAAAUCGAUCGUCAAAUAUGGGCAUGGGGGCGAAAGACUAAUCGAAC